UGUGCCUACUGCUGAAAAUUUAACAUGUCCCUUACUAACAAUAUUGGACUGGAUUAACUAUUUAUUCAUUUUCUCAACAAACGAUGUGACUUCUGGCAGUUGUUUUCCCCCUAAAAAUGCACUAAAUAGCACAAGAGAUCUUUCUGGCUGUGAAAAUGGAGCUUCAUGAGAUGCACCUCUAAUGGUGGCAAAAGAUAAGAUAUCUCCAUAUACUUGUGUCCAACCAGCAACCUGUUUUCCUUCAAACCAGGCUCUAUAUGGAACGGUUGUGUUGAGACCCAAAUACUUUGCCAAUCCAUUCACUAGUGUUCUUGUUCCAGUCAGUGGAAUGACUGAAUCUUGGUCUCCGCUGUAAACGAAAACCCGGAU
rnacentral:misc_RNA from 1 species